CACCUGGCUUACCUUUUCAGUCAUGUGUCAUUGCUUGUAUCGCAUUGAAUGCAUGGUGGGUUUCUUGUGUUGCAUGCCUAAUUGAUGGUAUCAUUUGAAGAAUUGAUGUCCCUUUUCAUCUUGUGUCGCACAUGCGAUGUGAGAUGAACCUUGAAGUAGCCUUUGUGAUCCACUCUUUCGAUGUACACGCAUUGAUUUUGUGGCCCACUGUGUGUUGCUUGGUCUCAUGGAUAUGGAACCUGGUGUGGGCAUGGGAUCUUUACUAUUUCCUUGUUUGCCCUGGUUUACCUUUCCUAAUA
rnacentral:misc_RNA from 1 species